rnacentral:rRNA from 1 species
UACGUAGGGGGCAAGCGUUAUCCGGAUUUACUGGGUGUAAAGGGAGCGCAGACGGGUGCGCAAGUCUGAAGUGAAACCCCACGGCUCAACUGUGGGCUUGCUUUGGAAACUGUGCAUCUUGAGUGUCGGAGGGGUAAGCGGAAUUCCCGGUGUAGCAGUGAAAUGCGUAGAUAUCGGGAAGAACACCGGUGGCGAAGGCGGCUUACUGGACGACAACUGACGUUGAGGCUCGAAGGCGUGGGGAGCAAAC